UUNUUUGGAUGAUGAUUUUAUCAAUCGAUGACGAUGGCUUUGAUGGAAACGCUUCUUCUCUGUGUCAGGGGUUUUCUUCCUCUGACUCUCUAGUUCAGAACAUCAUCUUCACUCCUUCGUUUCGUUGUUGGUUUUGAUGAUGAUGAUGAUGAUGGCUUUGAACACGAACUAGUCUCUGGUUUUGGAUUAUUUCAGGUAUUGGAUGAGAUCAGUGAUGGCUUUUUAAUGGACGGUCUUCAUGGGUUUUGUUAUUCCUCUUAAGUCUUAAUACAUCUUUUACUUUUUUUUUCUUCUAUAUAUAAGUGAAUUAACAUCUCAGUCUCUCUUUUGUUGCAGAUCGUGUGAUGGCUUUGACUGAUCUCUGUCACUCUCAUUCAAUGUUGCUCUUCAGGUAUUGGAUGAUGCUUUUGAUCGAUCAGUGAUGGCUUUGAUGGACUCCUUCUUCUCUGUGCUACGUCUUCAUUGUUGCUUUUGUUCUUCCUCUUAAGUCUUAAUUCAUCUUUUACUUCUUUUUUUUUUCUAUAUAUAAGUGAAUUUUAACAUCUCAGUCUCUCUUUUGAUGCAGAUCGAGGAGGCACCUGGAUUACUGACUGUGUGGGAGGUUCAAAUAGAAAACAUUGUGGGAGUUUAAUUUUCAGGUUUAACAUUAUGAUUUCUGCUCAUUUUAACUUUCAGGUUACCUUAAUAUUGGCUAUUGUUGAUACUCUGUUUCUUGUGUACUCCGAGAUGUUCUUGAUGUCGACACACACAUUCAGAUGAGAGAUGCUCCACAUAUUCUUUCCUAGACGAGGGUUUUUUUUAAGCUUUGUCCUUUGAUGCAGAUCCUCGAGGCAAUGGUAUUACUGUACAUGAGGUGGUGUGUUUUAGUCCAAUUAUGAUGGAGGGAGCAUUGCAUUCCCAGUGGUUCUUGUCACAGUCUGCAGAUGCCAAAUUAAAUUACUCGCCGCUGCAGGGUGUGUUCUCAGGUCACAGUCCAGGCACUAUGAUUGCUUUGUUGAAUUGAAAUUUAUCUUCUCGUCUAGAAUCAGGUAUGGUGCGGUGGUGUGUGACAUUCUUCUACGGGUCUCUGCUACUAAGUAUGGGCUCCUCUGAUGCACAAGGCUGGUCAUGUGGUUUAUUUCAGAUCCUCGAGGCACCUGGAUUACUCUGUGGGAGUUUAACUUUUUCAGAUUUGUGGAGGAGGAGGAUCUUAGGAUUGACCGGUGAUGGCUUUGACUGAUCCUUAUCACUCUCAUUCAAUGUUUCUCAUCAGGGUAUUGGAUGAUGCUUUGAUCGAUCAGUGAUGGCUUUGAUAAACUCCUUCUCUGUGCUAAGUCUUCAUGGAUCGAGGAGACAUCUGGAUUAGUGACUGUGUGGGAGGUUCAAAUAGAAAACAUUGUGGGAGUUCAACUUUCAGAUGUUCUUGCUGUGUACACACACAUUCAGAUGAGAGAUGCUCCACAAAUUCUUUCCUAGACGAAUCGUGGAUAUCUUCUCGUCUAUCAUCUGUUUAGAGAUGGACUUGAUGGAGAUGUGAUCAGGUUUGUUGGAGAGAUUUGAUCGAGAGGUAAAAUUUGCAGCUUUGGUUUCUUCUUGAAAUUGUUUUUACAAUUCAAACAGACCAAGUGAUUUUGCGAUUUCGCUAUGCUGAUUCAGGAGCUACUAACAAGCCACAAGAGUUGGAUGACUUAAUUAGGAGAUUGGCAAGAACAUUAUCUGUCACCAGGCUUGUCUCGUGUUUGAUGAUGCUAAUCCAUUGGUGAUCUGAUCUAUGUAACCAGCGGCAACUGAUGGCUUCAGAUGCAGAUGCAGGGCACAAUCUGAUCUUUUUUUUACUUGUUCGCUCCUUAGUUUACACUACGCCUUUGCUGAUUGAUUUGAUUGCUGCACAUGUGACAAGAGGUGAAAGACGAGUGAGUGGAAAUUUCAAAUCUAUGACAUUGUAGUGGGUGAUGCCAUACCUCUCAACAUUGGCAAUCAGGUUUCAGACGAUGUCUCUGAUUUUGUUUACAAUCCGAUGAUCAUCUCAUUCGUUCCUACUCAGUUGUGAAAUCUUCGUCUACGGUUUGGUCUUUCUCUCUCCAUCAAUUGCUUUAAACUCUCGCUCCCUCUGUGUUUUGUUGGAAGCGAAUCAUGGAGGCUCCACUCCACCCGCUUCUGAAUUGUCAAAACUCAUCCUCCUCCUCCUCCUCCUCCUACGAUCGUCGUCACAGUCCAGGCACUAGGAUUGCUUUGUUGAAUUGAACUUUAUCUUCUCGUCUACAAUCAGGUAAGGUGCGGUGGUGUGUGACAUUCUUCUACGGGUCUCUGCUACUAAGUAUGGGCUCCUCUGAUGCACAAGGCUGGUCUUGUGGUCUAUUUCAGAUCCUCGAGGCACCUCGAUUACUCUGUGGGAGUUUAACUUUUUCAGGUUUAACAUUAUGCUUUCUUGUUUAGUGAAUGAGGAAGACGAAACAAAAACCUUAAAAUCGCAAUAACAAAUCGGUUCAGUUUUAA